rnacentral:sRNA from 1 species
AGCUGAUGCAUUUCGUGGCUUCUCUCCCAGUGCCACCGCGUUGGCUGUUCCCCUCUGGAGGUUUUUUUGACCUUCACACUUAUAGGGCCCUGGUUUUCCAGCGGCCCUCUUUU